AGAGUUUGAUCCUGGCUCAGAUUGAACGCUGGCGGCAUGCCUUACACAUGCAAGUCGAGCGGCAGCGCGGGGGCAACCCUGGCGGCGAGCGGCGCACGGGUGAGUAAUGCAUCGGAACGUGUCCUCUUGUGGGGGAUAACCAGUCGAAAGACUGGCUAAUACCGCAUGAGAUCGAGAGAUGAAAGCAGGGGACCCGCAAGGGCCUUGCGCGAGAGGAGCGGCCGAUGCCCGAUUAGCUAGUUGGCGGGGUAAAAGCCCACCAAGGCGACGAUCGGUAGCUGGUCUGAGAGGACGACCAGCCACACUGGGACUGAGACACGGCCCAGACUCCUACGGGAGGCAGCAGUGGGGAAUUUUGGACAAUGGGGGCAACCCUGNAUCCAGCCAUGCCGCGUGUGUGAAGAAGGCCUUCGGGUUGUAAAGCACUUUCGGACGGAACGAAAUCGCGCGAUCUAACAAGUCGCGUGGAUGACGGUACCGUAAGAAGAAGCACCGGCUAACUACGUGCCAGCAGCCGCGGUAAUACGUAGGGUGCGAGCGUUAAUCAGAAUUACUGGGCGUAAAGUGUGCGCAGGCGGCAGAGCAAGUCGAGUGUGAAAGCCCCGGGCUUAACUUGGGAAUUGCGCUCGAAACUACUUUGCUGGAGUGUGGCAGAGGAAGGUGGAAUUCCACGUGUAGCGGUGAAAUGCGUANAGAUGUGGAGGAA
rnacentral:rRNA from 1 species